rnacentral:rRNA from 1 species
UUUCCAGACUCCUACGGGAGGCAGCAGUGGGGAAUAUUGCACAAUGGGCGCAAGCCUGAUGCAGCCAUGCCGCGUGUAUGAAGAGGGCCUUCGGGUUGUAAACUACUUUCAGCGGGGAGGAAGGCGAUAAGGUUAAUAACCUUGUUGAUUGACGUUACCCGCAGAAGAAGCACCGGCUAACUCCGUGCCAGCAGCCGCGGUAAUACGGAGGGUGCAAGCGUUAAUCGGAAUUACUGGGCGUAAAGCGCACGCAGGCGGUCUGUCAAGUCGGAUGUGAAAUCCCCGGGCUCAACCUGGGAACUGCAUUCGAAAGUGGCAGGCUGGAGUCUUGUAGAGGGGGGUAGAAUUCCAGGUG